UCGAACGGUAACAGGAAGNAGCUUGNUUCUUUGCUGACGAGCUGGNGGACNGNUGAGUAAUGUCUGGGAAACUGCCUGAUGGAGGGGGAUAANUACUGGAAACGGUAGCUAAUACCGCAUAACGUCGNNAGACCAAAGAGGGGGANCUUCGGGCCUCUUGCCAUCGGAUGUGCCCAGAUGGGAUUAGCUAGUAGGUGGGGUAACGGCUCACCUAGGCGACGAUCCCUAGCUGGUCUGAGAGGAUGACCAGCCACACUGGAACUGAGACACGGUCNAGANUUAUACGGGAGGCAGCAGUGGGGAAUAUUGCACAAUGGGCGCAAGCCUGAUGCAGCCAUGCCGCGUGUAUGAAGAAGGCCUUCGGGUUGUAAAGUACUUUCAGCGGGGAGGAAGGGAGUAAAGUUAAUACCUUUGCUCAUUGACGUUACCCGCAGAAGAAGCACC
rnacentral:rRNA from 1 species